CCUACGGGGGGCAGCAGUGGGGAAUAUUGCUCAAUGGGCGGAACCCUGAUGCAGCGACGCCGCGUGGGUGAAGGAGCGUUUCGGCGCGUAAAGCCCUAUCGGCAGGGAAGAAGAUGACGGUACCUGACCAAGAAGCCCCGGCUAAAUACGUGCCAGCAGCCGCGGUAAUACGUAGGGGGCAAGCGUUAUCCGGAUUUACUGGGUGGAAAGGGGGCGCAGACGGGAAUGCAAGCCAGGAGUGAAAGCCCGGGGCCCAACCCCGGGACUGCUCUUGGAACUGCAUGGCUGGAGUACAGGAGAGGCAGGCGGAAUUCCUGGUGUAGCGGUGAAAUGCGUAGAUAUUAGGAGGAACACCGGUGGCGAAGGCGGCCUGCUGGACUGUGACUGACGUUGAGGCCCGAAGGCGUGGGGAGCAAACAGGAUUAGAUACCCCAGUAGUC
rnacentral:rRNA from 1 species